rnacentral:rRNA from 1 species
UACGUAGGGUCCGAGCGUUGUCCGGAAUUAUUGGGCGUAAAGAGCUCGUAGGCGGUCUGUCACGUCGGCUGUGAAAACACGGGGCUCAACUCCGUGCCUGCAGUCGAUACGGGCAGACUAGAGUUCGGUAGGGGAGACUGGAAUUCCUGGUGUAGCGGUGAAAUGCGCAGAUAUCAGGAGGAACACCGGUGGCGAAGGCGGUUCUCUGGGCCUUACCUGACGCUGAGGAGCGAAAGCGUGGGGAGCAAACAGG